rnacentral:rRNA from 1 species
AUUGAACGCUGGCGGCAUGCCUUACACAUGCAAGUCGAACGGCAGCACGGGAGCAAUCCUGGUGGCGAGUGGCGAACGGGUGAGUAAUGUAUCGGAACGUACCUUUCAGUGGGGGAUAACGUAGCGAAAGUUACGCUAAUACCGCAUAUUCUGUGAGCAGGAAAGCAGGGGAUCGCAAGACCUUGCGCUGAUUGAGCGGCCGAUAUCAGAUUAGCUAGUUGGUGAGGUAAAGGCUCACCAAGGCGACGAUCUGUAGCGGGUCUGAGAGGAUGAUCCGCCACACUGGAACUGAGACACGGUCCAGACUCCUACGGGAGGCAGCAGCGGGGAAUUUUGGACAAUGGGCGCAAGCCUGAUCCAGCCAUGCCGCGUGAGUGAAG